GGUAUAAUUUUAUAUCAUUCCCAUGAUAAGCCCCGGAAACUUAUUGUGAAGUGUAUAUAGAGUAA
rfam:Salinicoccus alkaliphilus DSM 16010 genome assembly, contig: EJ97DRAFT_scaffold00002.2